AUCCCAUGAUUAGGACAUGCGGCGAUAUAUUCCUAUAGCCUUUCCCAUGCUUCCGGGAUCGUCUUAUCUCUCAUCUACUGGAAACUGGAUAUUCUUCCAUGAAGGAC
rnacentral:snoRNA from 1 species